rnacentral:rRNA from 1 species
GACAGACAAUAUGAAGGCCAGGCUGAAGACUUUGCCGGAUUAGCUGAGAGGUGGUGCAUGGCCGUCGUCAGUUCGUACUGUGAAGCAUCCUGUUAAGUCAGGCAACGAGCGAGACCCACGCCCACAGUUGCCAGCGUACUCUCUGGAGUGACGGGUACACUGUGGGACCGCCGCUGCUAAAGCGGAGGAAGGAAUGGGCAACGGUAGGUCAGUAUGCCCCGAAUAUCCCGGGCUACACGCGAGCUACAAUGGUUGGUACAAUGGGUAUCUACCCGAAAGGGACGGGAAUCUCCUAAAACCAAUCUUAGUUCGGAUUGAGGGCUGCAACUCGCCCUCAUGAAGCUGGAAUCCGUAGUAAUCGCGUUUCAACAGAACGCGGUGAAUACGUCCCUGCUCCCU